rnacentral:lncRNA from 1 species
UUUGAAAUCAAAUUUGUUUACAUUCAAUCAUAGAUCAUUCCAUCCAAAAAAUGGCCAUUCAUUCAUAAAUUAGCAUAUACAAUGUUCAUUAUGAAAUAUAAAAAAAAUGUAUUUUUACAAAAGUUGGCUUUUGGUCAACUUUUUACUUUUUGGUCAACCAAUUGACCAAAGUAAAUUAUUAUAUUCUCACCCCUAAAAUUCUAAUACUCAUUACAUCUUUAUUCAUGCAUGAUUCCAUGGGUUUCCAUUAUCACAUUUGCUUCAUGAGCAAGAAACUCCAUUUUGCAUCCAUUUUGGUCAUGCCAUGCUUUGCCUUGGUCACCUUGUGUUCUUGCCAAGCCUUGCAACCAUGACAAACCAAAAGCCUUGCCACCAUACCACAAAACAUUCCUGCACUCAAAAUUAGCAGUCAUCCAAUCAUACAACCAAGCAAUGCAAACAUAGCAACAAUGCGCAUGAUACAUCAAUUAACACCAUUUGCAAACUUACCAUGGCAUGAGCAAACCAUGACAUGAGCACAUCCUGCGGCAACACGCAUAGUCAGCUUUGCAUCAAAUCAUCACUGGCUUGCUCACAAACCUUGAAACUCGACUUGCCAUACAGUCCAACAAAAACCCUUUGAAAUAUGCAGCAACAAGCUUUGCAAUGCCCUACAUUUUCAGCCAAAAGACCUUGCAACCUUUGUCUAUCAUCAUCAACAUGCCACAUUCAUGACCAUAGCAUCCUGCAACAUCACAUCCACAUAUACAAAAACAGUCAUGGCAUUGCAACUUAAAUUAACUGCAUACCAUUCAUAUAUGAAUGGUAUGCAGCAACCAUAGCAGUUAACAUCUCAACAUCACAUAGUAGGGCAUUGCAAAAAUCGAGCAGCGGAGUUUUGAACUGCCAUUUCAUUUGCACUUCCAUCUAACCAACUAACAUUAUCUAAUAAAUCAUUUUCACUAACUCAAAUUAACCUACACUAACCAACAUCAUCUAACCAUGUUAACUGCAUUUUCACUCCACUAAUAGAAAAUUAGAAAUAACAUUGAACUCGAAAUCAGUUAACAUUUCUAACAGCAAAACUCAGUUUCAGUUAACACUUAACUCUAACAGAUUUCACAAGUCUAACUAACCUAACUAAGUAAAUUAACAUUGUUUUAACCUUUAACCAAUUCCAUAUUCAUUGAGUUAAUAGAACUAACAGAACCAGUUAACUCAUUUCCUAUAAAUUCAUUCAUCCUCACUCAUUCAUGAUCCUCAUUCAUUCAUUCAUUUUAAUUCAACACUUCACAACCUCUCGUUCUCUCAUUCAGAACUCAGUGCCCUCUCUCUAUCUCGAAUUCACAUUCCAUUGAUACGAUUUCCUCAGAUCCAGAUUAGCAUUCAGAAGAUGAAGAAAGAAGAAGAUGAUUAAGGAGUAGAGGAUUCAAGUAAAAGAGAUUUCGAAGGUUUCAGAGAAGUUUACCUGAAGUUCUGGUGUCUACUCCGGUGAGUGCAUCUUCUUACCUUAAUUUAUUUGAUUCAAACUAGUUACCAUCAUGUAGAGCUCAUUGAGAGGAAUCGAAGCCCUAACCUCUAGGGCUUUGUUUCCAAGUAUCCUUCAUUUAAUUUUUGUUGCAAGAGCUAGGGUUCUUGAUUAUUUCCCUUCGAUCUGGAAAUUUCAAGAGGUUUCAAAUGAUUUUGUUUGUGGAUUUUGUUAGAGCGUAUGGUUUGGAGUAAUUUGGUAUGUGAAAUUUUGAGAGACUUUGCUCCACCGCCGUCGGUGGUGAGCUUCGACGCGAUGGAGGGAGAAAGGAUUAAGAUGAUGACAUUUGAACUUAGCCAG